rnacentral:rRNA from 1 species
GAUAAACGCUGGCGGCGUGCAUGAGACAUGCAAGUCGAACGAACGAGCUUGCUCGUUAGUGGCGGACGGCUGAGUAACGCGUGGGUGACCUGCCCCGAAGUGGGGGAUAACUGCCCGAAAGGGUGGCUAAUACCGCAUGUGGCGACACGUUCAUUCGUGUCAUCAAAGCCGGGAGGCGCUUCGGGAGGGGCCUGCGUCCGAUUAGCUCGUUGGUGAGGUAACGGCUCACCAAGGCGACGAUCGGUAGGUGGUCUGAGAGGACGAUCACCCAGACUGGGACUGAGACACGGCCCAGACUCCUACGGGAGGCAGCAGUCGGGAAUUUUGCUCAAUGGGGGAAACCCUGAAGCAGCAACGCCGCGUGAGGGAUGAAGGCCUUCGGGUUGUAAACCUCUUUUUUCAGGGACGAUGAUGACGGUACCUGGAGAAUAAGUCACGGCUAACUACGUGCCAGCAGCCGCGGUAAGAC